rnacentral:tRNA from 1 species
GCGCGAUUAGCUCAGUGGUAGAGCGCUUCAUUGACAUUGAAGAGGCCGGAAGUUCAAUCCUUCCAUCGCGCA